UACGAAGGGGGCUAGCGUUGUUCGGAAUCACUGGGCGUAAAGCGCACGUAGGCGGACCAGCAAGUUGGGGGUGAAAUCCCGGGGCUCAACCUCGGAACUGCCCUUGAUACUGCUGGUCUAGAGUCCGAGAGAGGUGAGUGGAAUUCCUAGUGUAGAGGUGAAAUUCGUAGAUAUUAGGAAGAACACCAGUGGCGAAGGCGGCUCACUGGCUCGGUACUGACGCUGAGGUGCGAAAGCGUGGGGAGCAAACAGG
rnacentral:rRNA from 1 species